rnacentral:rRNA from 1 species
AACGCUAGCGGCGGGCUUAACACAUGCAAGUCGAGCGAGAAGGAAGCAAUUCCUGUAAAGCGGCGCACGGGUGAGUAACACGUAGGUAAUCUACCUCGAAGUGGUGGAUAACCUUCCGAAAGGAGGGCUAAUACAGCAUGAGACCACGGUUUCGAAAGAGAUUGAGGUCAAAGCGGGCCACUAUACAUAAGCUCGCGCUUCGAGAUGAGCCUGCGGCCCAUCAUGGUAGUUGGUAGGGUAAUGGCCUACCAAGCCGAAGACGGGUAGCUGGUCUGAGAGGAUGAUCAGCCACACUGGAACUGAGACACGGUCCAGACUCCUACGGGAGGCAGCAGUGGGGAAUCUUGCGCAAUGGGCGAAAGCCUGACGCAGCGACGCCGCGUGAGUGAUGAAGGCCUUCGGGUUGUAAAGCUCUGUGGAGGGGGACGAAUAAGGGUUGGCUAACAUCCAGCUCGAUGACGGUACCCCUUUAGCAAGCACCGGCUAACUCUGUG